rnacentral:rRNA from 1 species
UGCCGCGUGUGUGAAGAAGGCCUUUUGGUUGUAAAGCACUUUAAGCGAGGAGGAGGAGCUCUUGGUUAAUACCCAAGAAUGCUUGGACGUUACUCGCAGAAUAAGCACCGGCUAACUCUGUGCCAGCAGCCGCGGUAAUACAGAGGGUGCAAGCGUUAAUCGGAUUUACUGGGCGUAAAGCGCGCGUAGGUGGCCAAUUAAGUCAAAUGUGAAAUCCCCGAGCUUAACUUGGGAAUUGCAUUCGAUACUGGUUGGCUAGAGUAUGGGAGAGGAUGGUAGAAUUCCAGGUGUAGCGGUGAAAUGCGUAGAGAUCUGGAGGAAUACCGAUGGCGAAGGCAGCCAUCUGGCCUAAUACUGACACUGAGGUGCGAAAGCAUGGGGAGCAAACAGGAUUAGAUACCCUGGUAGUCCAUGCCGUAAACGAUGUCUACUAGCCGUUGGGGCCUUUGAGGCUUUAGUGGCGCAGCUAACGCGAUAAGUAGACCGCCUGGGGAGUACGGUCGCAAGACUAAAACUCAAAUGAAUUGACGGGGGCCCGCACAAGCGGUGGAGCAUGUGGUNNAAUUCGAUGCAACGCGA